GGGUCUAUGAGGACAAAACUAUGUCAUGAAGAGAGAUGUUGAACUACAAAUCAUGCACAAUAAAAUGACGCUGAGGCCC